AGAGUUUGAUCAUGGCUCAGAAUCAACGCUGGCGGCGUGCCUAACACAUGCAAGUCGAACGCGAAAGCCCCGAAAGGGGCAAGUAGCGUGGCAAACGGGUGAGUAACACGUGGGUGACCUGCCUUCGAGCGGGGGAUAACGUCCCGAAAGGGACGCUAAUACCGCAUGACAUCCUGCCUUUGAAGAGGUGGAGAUCAAAGCUGGGGAUCGCAAGACCUGGCACUUGAAGAGGGGCCCGCGCCUGAUUAGCUAGUUGGUGAGGUAAUGGCCUACCAAGGCGACGAUCAGUAGCUGGUCUGAGAGGAUGAUCAGCCACAUUGGGACUGAGACACGGCCCAAACUCCUACGGGAGGCAGCAGUGGGGAACAUUGGACAAUGGGCGCAAGCCUGAUCCAGCCAUGCCGCGUGAGUGAUGAAGGCCUUAGGGUUGUAAAGCUCUUUCGUCCGGGACGAUAAUGACGGUACCGGAAGAAGAAGCCCCGGCUAACUUCGUGCCAGCAGCCGCGGUAAUACGAAGGGGGCUAGCGUUGUUCGGAAUCACUGGGCGUAAAGGGCGCGUAGGCGGCCUGAUAAGUCGGGGGUGAAAGCCUGUGGCUCAACCACAGAAUUGCCUUCGAUACUGUCGGGCUUGAGACCGGAAGAGGUAAGUGGAACUGCGAGUGUAGAGGUGAAAUUCGUAGAUAUUCGCAAGAACACCAGUGGCGAAGGCGGCUUACUGGUCCGGUUCUGACGCUGAGGCGCGAAAGCGUGGGGAGCAAACAGGAUUAGAUACCCCCGUAGUCC
rnacentral:rRNA from 2 species